rnacentral:tRNA from 1 species
AUCUGGGUAGCUUAAUUUAUAAAGUUUAAUAUUGAAGAUAUUAAGAUAAGUUCAUACUUUUCAGAUA